UUUCUCGGCAGCGCCGUAGAGCGCGAGCAGACGGUGCAGCAUGGCGCACAGCGGAGGCCGCGGGCGGCCGAACCCGGCGUGUCCUUGGGCGUUUCCAGGUGCAACAAAACCUGCUCAUUUGAAGGUGCUUGAACAAAUAUUUUCUAAACACUUGUCAUGGAGAGUGAUUGAAACAAGCUGCCAGGACUACAUUUGCCAAUAACAAGCAUGUAGGUGGCUGUAGUGGAUGUCCAACUUUGGGAGCUGUGAUGUCUAAAAACCCUUUAUUGUUUUGGCUUACAUAUUGGAAGGUAAAAUGAAGGCCAUGAACAAAGUCAAGAAGCCAUAAACAGAAGCAAAUGGUGAAAAUUAAUAUCUAAUUUAAUAUUAAUAAGUUAUAUAUAAAUAAACAGUUAUUCUU
rnacentral:lncRNA from 1 species